CGCAUCUGUGCAUGCAGCAUAUCAAUAAGCGGAGGAAAAGAAACUAACAAGGAUUCCCUUAGUAACGGCGAGUGAAGCGGGAAGAGCUCAAAUUUGAAAUCUGGCGCCUUCGGUGUCCGAGUUGUAAUUUGAAGAAGGUAACUUUGGAGUUGGCUCUUGUCUAUGUUCCUUGGAACAGGACGUCACAGAGGGUGAGAAUCCCGUGCGAUGAGAUGCCCAAUUCUAUGUAAAGUGCUUUCGAAGAGUCGAGUUGUUUGGGAAUGCAGCUCUAAGUGGGUGGUAAAUUCCAUCUAAAGCUAAAUAUUGGCGAGAGACCGAUAGCGAACAAGUACAGUGAUGGAAAGAUGAAAAGAACUUUGAAAAGAGAGUUAAACAGUACGUGAAAUUGUCAAAAGGGAAGCGUUUGACACCAGUGUUGUUUUCUCGAAAAUCAAUUAAAAAUGAGUUGGAUUUUGUAUUGUUGAGACCUUAUCAAGCUUACUGUACAUUUUUCGUGCUCUUUUUUAAUGCACUUUUCGUUUAACAAGUCAACAUCAGUUUCUUUUGUUGUAAAAGGGUCAUUGGAAGGUGGCUUUCCUUUCGGAGGAAGUGUUUAUAGCCUUUGGCUUCUAGCAAUCGGAGAGAUUGAGGUCUGCAGCGUAGAUCCUUCGGGGUUAGAUACGUAGAUGCUAAGUUAUAGUUUUUUAUAGACAACUUGUUGACUAUGAUUAAUCAUGUAGCUUACUCGUUUGCGCUAUUUUACCUACGCUUAGGAUGUUGAUAGUCACAGCGUGUAC
rnacentral:rRNA from 1 species